rnacentral:rRNA from 1 species
GACGAACGCUGGCGGCGUGCUUAACACAUGCAAGUCGAACGGAAAGGCCCUGCUUUUGUGGGGUGCUCGAGUGGCGAACGGGUGAGUAACACGUGAGUAACCUGCCCUUGACUUUGGGAUAACUUCAGGAAACUGGGGCUAAUACCGGAUAGGAGCUCCUGCUGCAUGGUGGGGGUUGGAAAGUUUCGGCGGUUGGGGAUGGACUCGCGGCUUAUCAGCUUGUUGGUGGGGUAGUGGCUUACCAAGGCUUUGACGGGUAGCCGGCCUGAGAGGGUGACCGGCCACAUUGGGACUGAGAUACGGCCCAGACUCCUACGGGAGGCAGCAGUGGGGAAUAUUGCACAAUGGACGGAAGCCUGAUGCAGCAACGCCACGUGCGGGAUGACGGCCUUCGGGUUGUAAACCGCUUUCGCCUGUGACGAAGCGUGAGUGACGGUAAUGGGUAAAGAAGCACCGGCUAACUACGUG